UAAGCAACACACCUUGCUGACCUCUGGAGACAUCCCUUGCUUUCUCCACGCCUCCACUCCAUUCGAUUCCUCUUUUCCUCCCUUUUCUGCCUCCCUUUCCUACAAAAAGCACAGGUCCCUUAUUGCUUCUCCAUCUGCCCAUCCCCUGCUUCGAACCAGAGCAGAGCUCCCCUGUCUCUUGGCCAACUGCUGCUCCUUCUGUUUCCACACGAGAACCCGUGCAGCAUAGCAGCGGCAGCAGCAAUAUCGGCCGCGGCGGCGGCGGCACCGGUGGGGGCGCCGAGUACAUGGCACCGAUGGCAUGAUGCUGGCACUUACGACAAGAGGACAAAGACCGGCGGCCCCAAUGGCUCCAUCAGGUUCCCGCAGGAAUACAGCCACGCUGCAAAUGCAGGGAUCAAGAUUGCUAUUGACCUUCUCGGUCAGUCGCAUGGCCUAAGGAUCCAUUGAAGUUUGAUAACUCUUAUUUCGUGUAAGCCUUAUUCUAAAGCUGACUUGUUCAACAACAAACUAGGCACAAGAUUGCUUAAUUCUGGAAGAUCCUGAACUCGGUCGCUACAUUGAAAUAUAUGCAAAGGUGCAUAACAAUUCAGUUGGACCUUCCAUUAAUGAUGAAACUGCUCCUGAAAGAGAAAUAAUUGCUUUCUGUGAACCUGAA